UACGGAGGGUGCAAGCGUUAUCCGGAUUUACUGGGUUUAAAGGGUGCGCAGGCGGAUAUGUAAGUCAGUGGUGAAAUCUCCAAGCUUAACUUGGAAACUGCCGUUGAUACUAUCUGUCUUGAAUAUUGUGGAGGUGAGCGGAAUAUGUCAUGUAGCGGUGAAAUGCUUAGAUAUGACAUAGAACACCAAUUGCGAAGGCAGCUCACUACUCAAUCAUUGACUCUGAGGCACGAAAGCGUGGGGAUCAAACAGG
rnacentral:rRNA from 1 species